GAUCACCGUCUCCGAAUCUCUAUGCUUAAUUGAUCAUGGCUCAGUCAAGCGUAAGCGUGCCUAAUACAUGCAAGUCGAGCGGAGCACUUCGGUGCUUAGCGGCGGACGGGUGAGUAACACGUAGGCAACCUGCCUAUAAGACUNGGGAUAACUAUCGGAAACGAUAGCUAAGACCGGAUAACUGGUUUUCUCGCAUGAGAGAAUCAUGAAACACGGAGCAAUCUGUGGCUUAUAGAUGGGCCUGCGGCGCAUUAGCUAGUUGGUAGGGUAACGGCCUACCAAGGCGACGAUGCGUAGCCGACCUGAGAGGGUGAACGGCCACACUGGGACUGAGACACGGCCCAGACUCCUACGGGAGGCAGCAGUAGGGAAUCUUCCGCAAUGGACGCAAGUCUG
rnacentral:rRNA from 1 species